UCUAGUUUAGAAUUGAUUUAAUCCUACAACAAAUAAUGGUUUCCUAGUGACAUAGUGACUGAUGUAUACUUAGUGUGAGGCAUAUAAGGAGGAGCUGUCAGGGCCAGAAGGACAAACCUACUAAAGGACAAGCCCACUAGAAUGGAAGCCCACUUGAAGCUCUGGAAGCCUCAGCCAGCAUUCAGUCGAGGAGAUUCACAAGCCAGAGAAGGCAGCUUAAGCUUUCGGCACCAAGACUACUGGCUCUCUCCAGAAGCCCCCCCCCCCCCCCAAGAAACCUGCUCACAGAGAAUAUUACAAUUAGAGAAGAAUAUUACAUUUUGGUGCCCGAAUGUGGGACCAAGAACCUUCAUCUGUGACCCAGAAAUUAGGCUUUGAUUCAGCAAUUCAGACCGCUUCAGCUGAUAUUAAAGGAAGCAACACCACAGAAAAGGGAUCAGCAGUUAAAACGAAAUACAAAGAAGAAAAACCCAGAUCUUGGAUAUAGUAGCACAAAGCUCAAGA